ACCUUCCAAUUUCCUUACACACCAGACCUAAGCACUAAUCUGAGUCGUUAUAAAAGCAGUAAAAGUAAAAUUGAAACUGACUAUAAUUCUUUGGUGAUACACAAGCCAGUUUCAAACAAAC
rnacentral:snoRNA from 1 species